AGUCAGUGCAAUAUUCUAACUCAUGUAGUAAGGUAAGAAAAAGAUAAAGAUUAGAAAGGAAGAUAUAAAAUGGACAUCAUCUGUAAUUAACGCUUAUACACAUAGAAAAUCCAAAGUAAUCUACAAACAACCAGAACUGAAAAGUGAAUUUGGCAAAACUGUUAAAUAAGAGGUCAAUAUCUCCAACAGGUCAAUAUCUCCCCCCAAUUUUUUUAUAUAUUAGUAGCAA
rnacentral:lncRNA from 1 species